rnacentral:rRNA from 1 species
AACGAACGCUGGCGGCAUGCCUAACACAUGCAAGUCGAACGAGACCUUCGGGUCUAGUGGCGCACGGGUGCGUAACGCGUGGGAAUCUGCCCUUGGGUUCGGAAUAACAGUUAGAAAUGACUGCUAAUACCGGAUGAUGACUUCGGUCCAAAGAUUUAUCGCCCAGGGAUGAGCCCGCGUCGGAUUAGCUAGUUGGUGAGGUAAAGGCUCACCAAGGCGACGAUCCGUAGCUGGUCUGAGAGGAUGAUCAGCCACACUGGGACUGAGACACGGCCCGGCCUCCUAGGGGUGGCAGCAGUGGGGACAAUUGGACAAUGGGCGAAAGCCUGAUCCAGCAAUGGCGCGUGAGUGAUGAAGGCCUUAGGGUUGUAAAGCUCUUUUACCCGGGAUGAUAAUGACAGUACCGGGAGAAUAAGCCCCGGCUAACUCCGUGCCAGCCGCCGCGGUAAAAC